UUCCAUGUUUGCUUUUGUACCAGUACCAUGCUUUUUGGUUACUGCAGCCUUAUAGAGUAGUAUGAAGUCGAGUAGUGUGAUGACUUCAGCUUUGCUCUUUAUGCUUAGCAUUGCUUUAGCUAUCCACAUUCAUUUUUGCUUUAAUAUGAAUUUCAGAAUGGUUUUCUUUAAUUUGGCAAAAAAUUAUAUUGGUACUUUGAAAGGAGUAGUAUCGAAUCUAUAAAUUGCUUGGGUAAUGACAGAGUUGGGAUAUUUGUUUCUGCCCAGAUCUCAUGUUGAGUUACAGAUCCCAAUGCUGGAGGUGGGUCCUGGCAGAAGGUGUUUGAACCAUGAGGGUGGAUCCCUCAUAGCUGGAUGCUGUCUUCAUGAAGUCUGCAGGCCAGACUUCCCCAGGUGGUAGACAACAUCUUAGGUGGUGACCCUGAUGUGAUAACCGUCACAGCAGGCGCUCGAAUGAGGAACAAACCAAUGUGAUCACUGCUGCAAAGAAGGAACAGCAGAACGCCUGGGACCAGAAGGUACAGAGGACUUGUGCGGUCAGGUCAAGAAGUCAGCUGGAUGCUUCCUCAGGCUUCUCCAGAAGCAGAUGUGACUAUCCUUCCUGUAUUGCCUGCAGAACCUCUCUGGAUUGCAUAUUAGAAGGUGGCUCACCACCACCAAGUUCUUCUAAACUAAUCACUUGGGAAGGAAGAAAGUGCAGAAGGAAAGCAGCUUACUUCUAAGAAAAUGGCACAGAAUUUCCUCACAUGUUUUUCACUAACAUCUUACUGGACAGAAUUUAAUGGCCUCAUAUAACUCCAAGGGAGACUAGAGCAUUUGGAUUCUAUCUUGGAGGCCAUGUCCCCAGCAAAAAAGAUAAUGGAUAUUAGAGGACAGAUAGCAAGCACUCUAUGCCAUAAUCUGUUUCAGAUUUUGACCAAUUUGGCUGACCAAAAAAGUAAGAAAGAAAUUAGCAGAAUUUAUGUAUCUACUAAGUUCUUACUGUGUAUUAUACUAUUUUAGGCUUUGGGGUGCAAUAAUAUGAUAGCCUUACAGAGUAGACAUUGACCCCUAUUAGAAAAUACAGA